rnacentral:piRNA from 1 species
UGGUCUUCCUGUGGAAUUCUAAAGCUUACA